AGUGAACGCUGGCGGUAGGCCUAACACAUGCAAGUCGAACGGCAGCACAGUAAGAGUUUGCUCUUACGGGUGGCGAGUGGCGGACGGGUGAGGAAUACAUCGGCAUCUACUUUUUCGUGGGGGAUUACGUAGGGCAACUUAUGCUAAUACCGCAUACGACCUACGGGUGAAAGCAGGGGAUCUUCGGACCUUGCGCGAUUGAAUGAGACGAUGUCGGAUUAGCUAGUUGGCGGGGUAAAGGCCCACCAAGGCGACGAUCCGUAGCUGGUCUGAGAGGAUGAUCAGCCACACUGGAACUGAGACACGGUCCAGACUCCUACGGGAGGCAGCAGUGGGGAAUAUUGGACAAUGGGCGCAAGCCUGAUCCAGCCAUACCGCGUGGGUGAAGAAGGCCUUCGGGUUGUAAAGCCCUUUUGUUGGGAAAGAAAAGCAGCAGGUUAAUACCCCGCUGUUCUGACGGUACCCAAAGAAUAAGCACCGGCUAACUUCGUG
rnacentral:rRNA from 1 species